rnacentral:tRNA from 1 species
GAGGGUGUAGCUCAGUGGUAGGGUGUGUGCUUAGCAUGCACGAGGUCCUGGGUUCAAUCCCCAGUGCCUCCA